CUGAUGGAGCACGCCGCGUGAGUGAAGAAGGGUUUCGGCUCGUAAAACUCUGUUGUUAGAGAAGAACAGCCGUGAGAGCAACUGCUCACGGUAUGACGGUAUCUAACCAGAAAGUCACGGCUAACUACGUGCCAGCAGCCGCGGUAAUACGUAGGUGGCAAACGUUGUCCGGAUUUAUUGGGCGUAAAGGGAGCGCAGGCGGUUUAUUAAGUCUGAUGUGAAAGCCUUCGGCUUAACCGGAGAAGUGCAUCGGAAACUGAUAAACUUGAGUGCAGAAAAGGAUAGUGGAACUUCAUGUGUAGCGGUGAAAUGCGUAGAUAUAUGAAGGAACACCAGUGGCGAAGGCGGCUAUCUGGUCUGUAACUGACGCUGAGGCUCGAAAGCAUGGGUAGCAAACAGGAUUAGAUACCCUGGUAGUCCAUGCCGUAAACGAUGAAUGCUAGGUGUUGGAAGGUUUCCGCCUUUCAGUGCCGCAGCUAACGCAUUAAGCAUUCCGCCUGGGGAGUAUGACCG
rnacentral:rRNA from 2 species